rnacentral:rRNA from 1 species
AGUGAACGCUGGCGGUAGGCCUAACACAUGCAAGUCGAACGGCAGCACAGUAAGAGCUUGCUCUUACGGGUGGCGAGUGGCGGACGGGUGAGGAGUACAUCGGAAUCUACUUUUUCGUGGGGGAUAACGUAGGGAAACUUACGCUAAUACCGCAUACGACCUACGGGUGAAAGCAGGGGAUCUUCGGACCUUGCGCGAUUGAAUGAGCCGAUGUCGGAUUAGCUAGUUGGCGGGGUAAAGGCCCACCAAGGCGACGAUCCGUAGCUGGUCUGAGAGGAUGAUCAGCUACACUGGAACUGAGACACGGUCCAGACUCCUACGGGAGGCAGCAGUGGGGAAUAUUGGACAAUGGGCGCAAGCCUGAUCCAGCCAUACCGCGUGGGUGAAGAAGGCCUUCGGGUUGUAAAGCCCUUUUGUUGGGAAAGAAAAGCAGCAGGUUAAUACCCCGCUGUUCUGACGGUACCCAAAGAAUAAGCACCGGCUAACUUCGUG